UUCUUGACCACUGAGUCCUUUAAGAUGUGUGCUUCAAACAGCCAAACCACAUGCAGCAGGCAUGUUGAGUGCACUUUUGCUGCCAACUCUCAAAACUGAGAACAUAUAUUUUCUAAAUUGCCACCAAAAACCUCUACAGGCACCAACUCUCUCCUGGCACUGAAACAAUUAUUAGGGGACUGGGAUUUACAAAUAUUCCCAGAAAGAGAGAGAAUAACAUAAAGUUAGACGAAG
rnacentral:lncRNA from 1 species